CGGUUUUGUAAAUCUCCAGAUAAAGCCUGAAGCUUAACUCCAGAAAGUCUGAAGAGACUGCAAGACUUGAGAUCGGGUGAGGUUAAACGUACUUUCAGGGUAGGGGUAAAAUCCUGUAAUCCCGGAAGGACGACCAGUGGCGAAAGCGUUUAACUAGAACGAAUCUGACGGUAAGGAACGAAGGCUAGGGUAGCAAACCGGAUUAGAUACCCGGGUAGUCCUAGCUGUAAACAUUGCCCAUUUGAUGUUGCUUUCCCGUUGAGGGAAGGCAGUGUCGGAGCGAAGGUGUUAAAUGGGCCGCUUGGGAAGUAUGGUCGCAAGACUGAAACUUAAAGGAAUUGGCGGGGGAGCACCGCAACGGGAGGAAUGUGCGGUUUAAUUGGAUUCAACGCCGGAAAACUCACCGGGAACGACCUGUGCAUGAGAGUCAACUUGACGAGCUUACUCGAUAGCAGGAGAGGUGGUGCAUGGCCGUCGUCAGCUCGUACCGUAGGGCGUUCACUUAAGUGUGAUAACGAGCGAGACCCACAUCUUUAAUUGCAAAUGUAUAUGGGAAUAUGCAUGCACUUUAGAGAAACCGCCAGCGCUAAGCUGGAGGAAGGAGUGGUCGACGGCAGGUCAGUACGCCCCGAAUUUCCCGGGCUACACGCGCAUUACAAAGAACGGGACAAUACGUUGCAACCUCGAAAGAGGGAGCCAAUCGCGAAACCCGUCCAUAGUUAGGAUUGAGGGCUGUAACUCGCCCUCAU
rnacentral:rRNA from 1 species